UUGGGGUUGAGGUCACAGAGGCAAGCUUUGGGCUUUCUGGGUUAUGAUGGAAACUGAAGAAGACUGCACAGCAGGUAGAGAAGGCUGGCCAGAGCAAGGGAAAAAACAGCAUCCUGAACCUACUUCUGCUUAGAAUGACAUCAAUAUGAGAGAUUCUGAUUAGCCCACAGGGCAUGCAUCACCACACCUCGGGAACUCUGGGUUGAUCUGCUGAGGAAGGUUGUUUAGGAUGUCCAUUGUCCAAGGAUGCCCAGUGCAGGAGGAAGGCCUGCUCCUUUCCAUUUGGCUCUGUGUCCAGGGUUGCAUCUGCUGGGCAAGGAGCAGACCUUAGUUCAUUCCUCAUGACCCAGAAAGCUGAUACAGAUCAUCGUAUGAGAAAGACCAACCCAGAGCCUGGAACUGGAUCCACUGAGGGACGGCAAUCAGCACAAAGAGGCUCCCACAAAAGCUGGAAAGCUCUAGAAAUGCCCAUACACUACAACAUAGAAUACCAGAUCUGCAGAGUGAAGACACUAUUUGCUUCCACUCCUACAAGUCCUGGGUCCCCCACUUCCACCCCAAGCUUCGGGGUGAAUGACACCUAAAGUACAGACAUUCCUCUAGCUCUUUCCAACCCUGGGCCAGGCCCACAGCUCAACAGAAGGAGGCAGGAGGGCUCCAGCACACACCAGACUGCUUCUACAUGCCUGGCACAAGGCUGGUACUCAACACUCUUUAUUCCAGCAAUACCCAAGUCUUCUGUAGGCAUAUGAAGUUCUCUUGGGAAGUAGAUGGAAUGGAAGCCAACAGCGACCACUCAUCUCAUAGCUCAAAGGGAACUGGUAGCUAUAUCCUGGCCCUGUCAUCUCCUGAGGGAAGAGAAAAACCCUGAGUGGUGAGGAGAUCACAGCACGAGUCUCUCUUACUAGGAUCAAAGAAAGGUAUGGGCUUGCCACAGAUGGCAGAGUUCAGUUCAUAAAACAAGAGUAAGAGUUUUAAAUGUGAGGCUUCAUCAGGGAGGCUGAGGGUCCAUGGAGCCAAUGGGAGCUUGAAGGACCUAGAGUGCUGAGUUUUUAUUAGGAAUGACUUUGUGCAAAGAAACUAUACAAUCAUUAAGCCUGUGCUUCUAAAGAAUAGACAAUUUUGCUUAAUAAAUCACCAGGCAGACCAAAGACAAGGAAUUGUGGACAGAAAAUAUAUGGGAACAGAACAAGCCUUUGUGUCUCAAGAAAAGCACAUCCCAUCCCCUUGAGUGGAAAUGAUCAUUUCAUUCUGCCCUCAGUGUUUCAAGGGUCAGAGUGCUCUUGGAAGCUGAAUGUAUUCCUUUCUCAAACAAGGCUGUUGGCAAUGUGGAAUGUCCUGAAAUCAUGACCUGAGUGAUGACAUUGGGAUCCUAAACACACAUAUAUAUAGCAUAAAUAUAGCUUUAGUUUAGGUUUUAUCCAGUUAAGCCAACAAAUCAAUCUGCUCAAUAAAU